rnacentral:lncRNA from 1 species
ACAGUUUUGUCAUGUUGCCUGUCAGGGGCUCGACAGGUCUGUGACAGCGGGCAGAUGGGCCCGUGAUCGAUGUGCUCCCCCUGCGCAAGGACAGCCGGAUGAAGGUGCAAACAGCCUGGCUAAUAGAUGAGAGAUGCAGAGCGAGGCUGAUAAGGCCCCAGUGCCCGAACUGUGAUGAAUGGGGAAGGAUGCAGUGGGCUAUUUAUUUCCAAGAAAUGAGUGACUUCUGGGGAAAGGCGAGUGGGGAAGAGAGUGGAAAAGAAGAGGCAAAAGGAGGCUGUUGUGGGAAAUGGAAAGUAUGGUGGUAG